AAAAAAUAAAGCAAAUUUAACUGUUAUUUGUUGAGUGUCAAAAAAACUCUGAAUUGAAAAUGAGUUCAUCAUUUGCACUGUUACUGUGAACAGAACUGCAGAAUUAUAUGGAGGCUAAAAUAAUAGCAUUGAGGCUCUACGAAAGGUCACCAAGAUGCUACAAACUAUUGAGGAGAAUGAUUUGUUUACCAGCACAUUAAAAUCUAUCUUAAGUAAAAAGAUGAAUGUGGAAACACAAAAAAAUAUUGUACAGGGAUAAAAUACCUACCAGAAUACUUUGGGCUAUUAAUGAGAGUAUGUAUUGUCGUGGAAUUAAAUGUCUUUAAGAAAAAUUUAUCGUACAACCCUAAGGUUGAUUAUAUUGAAGUACCUCCAAGACCUACUAACAAGGUACAAACAGUGAAUCGGAAUCACUAAAUGGAGCCAGUCAAUUCAGGCAAUUUUAUGAAUUGGAAAACAAUAAUUCUAAUUUUGUAGUUGAUGCUUGAGUAAAUAUUGAGUACACAUUGAAUACACAUUGAGCCUAAUUCAAAUAAAAAAAUGAGGAUAAAAUUUGCUGCUCAAGUUUCAAAUCACUCAGUGGCAGCAGGAAUAUAUACCAAAAUGGCUGAAGCCACAGAUAGCUGAUAUAUUCCGUGUUAUUGAUAAUAUUGAGAUGAGGCACAGAAGGAAAUAUCUUUUAUUUAAUGGAGUACCCGAAGAAGAGGAAGAUCUUGCAAUCACCAUCUCUUACAUCUGCAUUAAUAAGCUUGGUAUAAAUGAUGCAACGGCUGACAAAAUUAUCCCAUCACCGACUAGACAAAAGCAAUGAGGGUAAAUCUCGUCCCGUUCUUGUGAGAUUCAGCAAUUUGUCUCUGAAAGCAACUGUGUGGAAGAAGAAAGCAGGCCUGAAGGGUUCUCCAUAUGUUGUUUCUGAAUUUUUGACUCAUCAGCGCCAAUCACUAUUUCUCCAUGCACGUAGAACUCUUGGAAUGAGAAACUGUUGGACGCUAGAAGGCAAUGUCAUGGUUAAGCUUCCUGGUCGAUCCAGACAUCGUAUAGAAACUGAAGAGAAUCUCUCUAAUUUAACUGUGUCUAUUGAUAUAGCCAGCGAGAUAACUCUUCCAAGUUGUAAAGUUGUCCCGUCUUCCUCUGAAGUAAGCAAGACCAAG